rnacentral:rRNA from 1 species
GAUGAACGCUGGCGGCGUGCCUAAUACAUGCAAGUCGAGCGAACAGACGAGGAGCUUGCUCCUCUGACGUUAGCGGCGGACGGGUGAGUAACACGUGGAUAACCUACCUAUCAGACUGGGAUAACUUCGGGAAACCGGAGCUAAUACCGGAUAAUAUAUUGAACCGCAUGGUUCAAUAGUGAAAUACGGUUUUUCUGUCACUUAUAGAUGGAUCCGCGCCGCAUUAGCUAGUUGGUAAGGUAACGGCUUACCAAGGCGACGAUGCGUAGCCGACCUGAGAGGGUGGUCGGCCACACUGGAACUGAGACACGGUACAGACUCCUACGGGAGGCAGCAGUAGGGAAUCUUCCGCAAUGGGCGAAAGCCUGACGGAGCAACGCCGCGUGAGUGAUGAAGGUCUUCGGAUCGUAAAACUCUGUUAUUAGGGAAGAACAAAUGUGUAAGUAACUAUGCACGUCUUGACGGUACCGAAUCAGAAAGCCACGGCUAACUACGUG